rnacentral:rRNA from 1 species
GACGAACGCUGGCGGCGUGCUUAACACAUGCAAGUCGAACGAAGUGGCGAACGGGUGAGUAACGCGUAAUCAACCUGCUCUUCAGAGGGGGACAACAGUUGGAAACGACUGCUAAUACCGCAUACUGAAGGAGGGGAUUGCGUCGGAUUAGCUAGUUGGAGGGGUAAAGGCCCACCAAGGCUAUGAUCAGUAGCCGGUCUGGGAUGAUUAACGGACAAAUUGGGACUGAGAAACGGCCCAGACGCCUACGGGAGGCAGCCAUUGGGAAUCUUCCGAAAGGGACGCAAGGCUGACGGAGCAACGCCGCGUGAGUGAUGACGGCCUUUGGGUUGUAAAGCUCUGUUAAUCGGGACGCGGUACCGGAAUAGAAAGCCACGGCUAACUACGUGCCAGCAGCCGCGGUAAUAC